GAUUAACGCGAAGAACCUUACCUCGGCUUGACNUGCACGUGGUACCAACCCGUAAGGGAAGGGACCCGCGAGGGAGCGUGCACAGAUGCUGCAUGGCUGCCGUCAGCUCGUGCCGUGAGGUGUUGGGUUAAGUCCCGCAACGAGCGCAACCCUUGUCCUUAGUUGCCUUCUCUAAGGAGACCGCCGGUCUAAACCGGAGGAAGGUGGGGAUGACGUCAAGUCAGCACGGCCCUUACGUCCUGGGCGACACACACGCUACAAUGGCCGGUACAACGGGCUGCCAAGGGGCGACCUGGAGCUAAUCCCACCAAAGCCGGUCUCAGUUCGGAUCGCAGGCUGCAACUCGCCUGCGUGAAGUCGGAGUUGCUAGUAACUGCUGGUCAGCACACAGCAGUGAAUACGUUCCCGGGCCUUUACACACCGAAUCACUAGU
rnacentral:rRNA from 1 species